UACGUAGGUGGCAAGCGUUAUCCGGAUUUAUUGGGUUUAAAGGGUGCGCAGGCGGCCUGUUAAGUCAGCGGUAAAAGCCCGGGGCUCAACCCCGGCGAGCCGUUGAAACUGGCGGGCUGGAGUUGGAGAGAAGUACGCGGAAUGCGCGGUGUAGCGGUGAAAUGCUUAGAUAUCGCGCAGAACCCCGAUUGCGAAGGCAGCGUACCGGCUCCACACUGACGCUGAGGCACGAAAGCGUGGGGAGCAAAUAGG
rnacentral:rRNA from 1 species